UAGAGGAAAGGAGAGGGAGACGCGUGAGAAACAGAGCCCACGACUCCCUCGUCUCUCCCAAAUCGCCGCCACCAAUGCCUCGUCUCCCUCCUCCGACCCGCCUCGUCUCCCUUGCGCCGACCCUCCACCUCCCCUCCUCCCACCUCACAGCUCCGGAGGCUGCAGGAUCCGCCACAUCCCCACCCAACCGUCCCUCUCGUGUUCCAUCCCGGUCUCUUCACGCGGCUCUCCUCGCCGCGCUACCUGCGGCGGCUGCAUCAGGUGAUGUCCGGCGAAUCCCGCCAGCGCCAAGCACAGCCUGAGGUCCCUUCGCUCCGUGGAGCCCUCCCAUCCAGCUAGAUCGAGCGCUCGCUGCCACCAAAUCCCACCUGCGACCCAUCCCCCAUGGCUAGGGUUUCGGGCUUCGGAUCCGGUGCCGGUGACCAUGUCAUCCUCGUCUCAUCCGACAUGCGGGGAGGAACAGGCAGUGGACAACCUUGCUGCGGCUCGGGAUGAAGCAGCCACGAGCUUCCUCCUCCUCCGGCUUCAGUGGAGGUGUACCAAAGGUAGUUUGAAGCAGAUUAGGCGGCCGCGGGCGUCUUUGGCGGUGAGGCCCCGUCCAGUGAAGGAAAUGGCGGUGUGGCGAUUUGUGUUCUAUUCUCCAUCCUUUAAGCUCAUAACAGAAGAAAGAACUAUACAAUCACUAUUGUUUUAUUAAGAAAAGACCUGUCUUGUAUGCAUGUAUUGAUGAGUACUCCUCUUGACUCGAUUGUGUUGUAGGGAGUGAAAGCAUCCAGUUGCGGUGGUCUCCAACUCUGGUCGCCUCCAGCAGCACCACAUAAUCAAAGUUCCAAACAGUAGUGUUGGACUGCUGCCUCCAGCCAACCAUAACAUAAUCAUUGGAUGUGUUUCUUAUACGUAGAAGAUUUGAGUGAUCUGCACACACCAACUUGAUGUAGGGGGACACCAUGGAAGGCUAUGUCGUAUAUUGUGGCGUCUGGAUUAGUCAUCAAUGAUCACUAACAGUCAUGCCGGUAUAUUUCCAGAAUCAUAACAAGGACGUAGUUCUUGCUACAGUUCUAAGUUAUGAUCCUAAAUUGAAAAUUGAUGGUGCUGAAAUUAAAAUGCAUUUUGGGCAGUGUAAUACAACACUUGCGAAAACUGAAGAUUUGGUACAGAGUCGCAAAAACUACAAUACUAAUGGUAAUGCAAAAAAAAAUAUUGCAUGGCCUUCAAUGUUUAUUGAAAAGAUAUAUGGAUGAUUAUAUGGGUGCGUAACAAGUAUACUG